CCUACGGGUGGCAGCAGUGGGGAAUAUUGCGCAAUGGGCGAAAGCCUGACGCAGCGACGCCGCGUGGGUGAUGAAGGCCUUCGGGUUGUAAAGCCCUGUCGGGUGGAACGAACGAUCUGGCGGCGAAUAACCGCCGGGUGUGACGGUACCACCAAAGGAAGCGCCGGCUAACUCCGUGCCAGCAGCCGCGGUAAUACGGAGGGCGCAAGCGUUGUUCGGAAUCACUGGGCGUAAAGCGCGUGUAGGCGGCGAAAGCCCGGGGCCUAACCCCGGAACUGCACUCGAAACUGCCGCGCUCGAGUCUCGGAGAGGGUGGUGGAAUUCCCGGUGUAGUGGUGAAAUACGUAGAUAUCGGGAGGAACACCAGCGGCGAAGGCGGCCACCUGGACGAUGACUGACGCUGAGACGCGAAAGCGUGGGGAGCAAACAGGAUUAGAUACCCUAGUAGUC
rnacentral:rRNA from 1 species